rnacentral:rRNA from 1 species
AAUUCGUGACCUCAGCUCAGUCGGAUACCUGCUCACCUAAAU